CACAAAACCCUAGCCAUCUGAACUUCCCUUUACGGUCGCUCCGGCCGCCCACCCGAUUGAGACUCCUGAGGACGUAAAAGACCGAGGACAAACCGGAGGAAAACACUGGAGAGACGAAAACCAAGGAAAGACGGAAAAAAUUGAAAGGGCCUUCAAAUAUUUGUUAUCCUCAUUGGUGGAAUAAAUCAGGGGUAGAAGAGAAAGGAAAGGGUGGAAGAUGGCAGAGCUGCUGAGCAUGGGCAUCCUGAUAGACAUUGUGGAUGAGGAAUGGAUGAGAGACACCCUCCCCAAGGAUGAUAUUCCUCUACCGGUUGCAAUGGCUUCCAGAACUGAAGAUGCUGAAGAACCAAUUUGCUUUGUGAUUACCAGAUCAGGAAAACCAACCAGUGGAAGGGGAUGUUUGGCGUGAUCUUGCCCUAGAGAAUCUUUGAGCCUUCAAUUCUGUGCAAGCUGGUCAAUGUGAAGAGAAAUGUGGCGUCAACAAGUCAAUGUCUUGGGUAAGCAAUGCUGGUGGUGAUCUUUUGUCUAUGCUGUUGUUAGCUUAUCUUUGAAUUGCCUGGCAGGGAAUCUGCAGUAUGAUCCAUUCCUUCCAAACUUUUAGUGGAUGCUUCUAAAGAUACUUUACUAGGUGACCAUAAGAAAUUUGAGGAAGAAUAUUCCCUAUAUGUUGUGAUAAUAGUUGUUGUUAUGGGUAAAAAAUUCUUUUCUCGAUAAAACCGAUGCACAGAGAACCGGGGUCUGCUCUGAUCUUGAUGUUAGUCGAAUUAAGGCACUUGAGUUGAUCUUUCCCGUUAUACGGGAAAGAUCUACCUCCCUAUGGAUCUUCAAGUUCUGUGACUAUCAGAGCAAGAGCAACUAAUGACGAGCAAAUAAGGAAGGAGAUGACAAAUA